CUUACCAGGCAGGGAACGUCUCCCUAGAGGGCAGUUCCCCUGUUGAGAAAGAAGACAUUAUCGACGUCACCCAAAAUGAAAAGAGGCAAGAAACAUUUUUUUAAGUGCACGUUUAACGAGCUGCUGACAGGUGAAUCUCGUAACUCAGAAGGUAAAUGCAAAACACCGAGUCGGCCAACCAUGUCAACCUCCCCACGAGACUGACACGCGCUGGUUUUGAGGAAGACAGGCCGCGGAUUCCGGUUGGGGGCCGUGCCUCCUCGCCAACUCUGAGUCAAUGUCGCGGAGGGUGCGCCUCCCAGCUCCGGAGCCGGCUUCCGAACCCGCCGGUGCCCCGGCCCCGCCUGACAGUACCUUCUGGAAGGCAGAAAGCGAGCGACUGAACGCCCGGGACACGCAGCGAGACCGGGACAGCAUCGCGGAGGCAGCGGGAUGGAGGGCGGGCGGACACCGGAUAUAGGGCCCGGCAACAACCGGAAGUGAGGCAGGCCGCGGCACCCGCCGUGCAGCGAGGGGUGUUCGGAGCGAACCACUAGCAGGUUGAGGUGGAAGGAGAAGGUGAGCCAGGCCCGGAGCAUUACCUGCCCUGGUCCUGGGGAUGUGGUGCUGUCAAGAGGCCGCCAACUUGGACAGCCAUCUGGCCACCGGAGCGCCCGCCCCCGAGUUCAAGCCUUCCCUACUUUUCCUCAGAGCUAGUACUGUUUGGCGCCCUUGGCUGCCCCAGGCUAUUCUGCCUCUGCACUCUAGGAAGAGAACGGCUUGAGGACAUAGGCUAUUGAACUUGCAUCUCAACCUAAUGUGGGACUUGGGCAGACUUAGGCAGGUGGCACUGCCUCUCUGAGCCUGGAGCUCCUCAAGCAUAUAUAUGUAUACACUUUUUAUUGCCCCGUCUCCUCGGUCCCCCGAACAGGCUAGGGUACCAAGGAACCUGUGAAGGGCUCUCUCACUUGUUCUUUUAUAACGUCGGUUCUCAAUCUAUGGGUCGCGACUCCUGGGUGGGGCGAGAGGGGAAGGGGCACAUAUCAGUAACCUCCAUCUCAGAUAUUUACAUUACGAUCAUAACAGUAACAAAAUUACAGUUAUGAUGUAGCAACGGAAAUCACUAUGGUUGGGGAUCAGCACUACCUGAGGAACUAUAUUAAAGGGUGCAGCAUUAGAAAAGCCGAGAACCACUGUUUUGGGAGCUGAAAGGCAUCAACUAGCCUCACUCCACUUCAUCUCCUGCUCUUUUCCGGUUCCUAAGCAAACUCUCCAGCCAAGCUAACGUCCCCACCCAUCCUGUGCAUUCUGUAAGCCAUUUGUUACCCAACUCUGGGGGUGUAAUCUCAGGGGGGCUUAUAUCGUUUAGUUCAGUGAUGUAUCCCACUGGCAUAAGUUAUACAAAAUAAAAUAUUUGUAGACUUCCCACUCCCCAGUUUUGGGUAUACCAUUCUGCCCACUGCCUUACAAUGAAAGCCCAUGGCAUCCCUUCCCCCUCCUUCUCUGCUUGCUCUCAAAGCCAUAAGCCUGUAAGCCUGACUUCCUAACAGAAGAGGUAUUCCAUGAGGUGCAGCUGAAUAAACUAAUGUAUGGACGGAUGAACGAA